rnacentral:rRNA from 1 species
CGCAAGCCUGACGGAGCAAUACCGCGUGGGGGAUGACGGUCUGUGGAUUGUAAACCCCUUUUCUCUAGGAAGAAGUUCUGACGGUACUAGAGGAAUCAGCAUCGGCUAACUCCGUGCCAGCAGCCGCGGUAAGACGGAGGAUGCAAGCGUUAUCCGGAAUUAUUGGGCGUAAAGCGUCCGCAGGCGGCUAUAUAAGUCUGUUGUUAAAAAUCACAGCUUAACUGUGGGAGGGCAAUGGAAACUGUGUGGCUAGAGAGCGGUAGGGGUAGAGGGAAUUCCCAGUGUAGCGGUGAAAUGCGUAGAUAUUGGGAAGAACACCAGUGGCGAAGGCGCUCUACUGGGCCGUUACUGACGCUGAGGGACGAAAGCUAGGGGAGCG